UCAAAGGACGAGCCGGGAAUGGAAAAACCGGUGCAAGCGAGGUAGCUUCAUGGGAGGGAAAGCCCCCAUGUAUAAGGCGAAUGCGUGAAGCGUAGCGAACUUAAAAGUAGCGAAGCGUGUGGAGUCACUGUCAGGAAAAGCCGCUAUUGCGUAUCAUGAACCCGUACCGUAAACCGACACAGGUGGAUGAGGAGAGAAUCCUAAGGCCGACGGAAGAAGCAUUGUUAAGGAAUUCGGCAAAAUGACCCCGUAACUUCGGGAGAAGGGGUGCCUACGAAUGUGGGCCGCAGAGAAUUGGCCCAAGCAACUGUUUAGCAAAAACACAGGUUUAUGCGAAACCGAAAGGUGAAGUAUAUGAGCUGACGCCUGCCCGGUGCUGGAAGGUUAAGGGGAGAGCUUAGAGGCAACUCGAAGGUUCGAACUUAAGCCCCAGUAAACGGCGGCCGUAACAAUAACGGUCCUAAGGUAGCGAAAUUCCUUGUCGGGUAAGUUCCGACCCGCACGAAAGGCGUAAUGAUUUGGGCACUGUCUCGACAAUGCAUCCGGUGAAAUUGAAAUACCAGUGAAGAUGCUGGUUACCCGCGCCAGGACGGAAAGACCCCAUGGAGCUUUACUCCAGUUUGAUGCUGGGAUUCGGUACUGCAUGUACGGGAUAGGCGGGAGACUAGGAAGAUAUAACGCCAGUUGUAUCAGAGUCGCUGUUGGGAUACCGCCCUUGUAGUACUGGGUUUCUAACCUGCCACCGUGAACCGGUGGAGGGACAACGUCAGGCGGGGAGUUUGACUGGGGCGGUCGCCUCCGAAAGGGUAUCGGAGGCGCUCAAAGGUUCCCUCAGAAUGGUUGGAAACCAUUCGAAGAGUGCAAAGGCAGAAGGGAGCUUGACUGCGAGGUCGACGGACCGAGCAGGUACGAAAGUAGGACUUAGUGAUCCGGUGGUAGAAAGUGGGAUUGCCAUCGCUCAACGGAUAAAAGCUACCCUGGGAUAACAGGCUAAUCACUCCCAAGAGUUCACAUCGACGGAGUGGUUUGGCACCUCGAUGUCGGCUCAUCGCAUCCUGGGGCUGUAGCAGGUCCCAAGGGUUGGGCUGUUCGCCCAUUAAAGCGGUACGUGAGCUGGGUUCAGAACGUCGUGAGACAGUUCGGUCCCUAUCCGGCGCGGGCGUAGGAUAUCUGAAAGGAGCUGGCCUUAGUACGAGAGGACCGGGCUGGACGGACCGCUGGUGUAUCUGUUGUCAUACCAAUGGCAUAGCAGGGUAGCCAAGUCUGGAAGGGAUAAACGCUGAAGGCAUCUAAGCGUGAAGCCCCCCUUAAGAUAAGAUAUCCCUGGAGUUAAUCCAGUAAGACCCCUUGAAGACGACGAGGUAGAUAGGGCAGAGGUGGAAGUGUGGUAACACAUGGAGCUGACUGUCACUAAUAGGUCGAGGGCUUGACCG
rnacentral:rRNA from 1 species